GAUGAACGCUGGCGGCGUGCCUAAUACAUGCAAGUCGAGCGAACGGACGAGAAGCUUGCUUCUCUGAUGUUAUCGGCGGACGGGUGAGUAACACGUGGAUAACCUACCUAUAAGACUGGGAUAACUUCGGGAAACCGGAGCUAAUACCGGAUGAUAUUUUGAACCGCAUGGUUCAAAAGUGAAAGACGGUCUUGCUGUCACUUAUAGAUGGAUCCGCGCUGCAUUAGCUAGUUGGUAAGGUAACGGCUUACCAAGGCAACGAUGCAUAGCCGACCUGAGAGGGUGAUCGGCCACACUGGAACUGAGACACGGUCCAGACUCCUACGGGAGGCAGCAGUAGGGAAUCUUCGGCAAUGGGCGAAAGCCUGACGGAGCAACGCCGCGUGAGUGAUGAAGGUCUUCGGAUCGUAAAACUCUGUUAUUAGGGAAGAACAUAUGUGUAAGUAACUGUGCACAUCUUGACGGUACCUAAUCAGAAAGCCACGGCUAACUACGUG
rnacentral:rRNA from 1 species